GUAUUUUAUUGCGUUAAACGCGGCGCACAUUCCAUAAGACUUCACUACGGUGUGUGUGUGUAAAGACGUAGAACCACAGGAGGGGGAACGCAUCGUCCCCCCAGACCGCAGAACUACAGAGGGUGCACAGGUGUGAGUGGAUGUGUGAACAGAGUGUGCACAUGCCCCCGAGAUUCGGGGACCAGCAACAACCCAUGUCGACGACUCAGUAAUGAUCCUUCCGCAGGUUCACCUACGGAAA
rnacentral:misc_RNA from 1 species